rnacentral:lncRNA from 1 species
UUUCAAUCAGCUGCAAAGAGUUGUCUACACAACUUAGAAGUAAAUUAGGCUCAAAAAGUUUGUUGAGCAGAAUCAAUUUCCAACCAUUAUCUUCUUAGUUGUAAGAAAAAAUAUCCCUCGUCAUCUCCUCCGCAGUCCAAGAGCCAGCAGCAAAGUAUUCGAACUGCAAUCUGAGUGAGUGUCAUGUCCACAGAACAAGUUAUAGUGCAUUCUCAAAUGAAACCUUCUUCUAA